rnacentral:rRNA from 1 species
CUCUUGGUCGAAGCCCCGGGAAACGGCGGCCGUAACUAUAACGGUCCGAAGGUAGCGAAAUUCCUUGUCGGGUAAGUUCCGACCUGCACGAAUGGCGUAAUGAUGGCCAGGCUGUCUCCACCCGAGACUCAGUGAAAUUGAACUCGCUGUGAAGAUGCAGUGUACCCGCGGCAAGACGGAAAGACCCCGUGAACCUUUACUAUAGCUUGACACUGAACAUUGAGCCUUGAUGUGUAGGAUAGGUGGGAGGCUUAGAAGUGUGGACGCCAGUCUGCAUGGAGCCGACCUUGAAAUACCACCCUUUAAUGUUUGAUGUUCUAACGUUGACCCGUAAUCCGGGUUGCGGACAGUGUCUGGUGGGUAGUUUGACUGGGGCGGUCUCCUCCUAAAGAGUAACGGAGGAGCACGAAGGUUGGCUAAUCCUGGUCGGACAUCAGGAGGUUAGUGCAAUGGCAUAAGCCAGCUUGACUGCGAGCGUGACGGCGCGAGCAGGUGCGAAAGCAGGUCAUAGUGAUCCGGUGGUUCUGAAUGGAAGGGCCAUCGCUCAACGGAUAAAAGGUACUCCGGGGAUAACAGGCUGAUACCGCCCAAGAGUUCAUAUCGACGGCGGUGUUUGGCACCUCGAUGUCGGCUCAUCACAUCCUGGGGCUGAAGUAGGUCCCAAGGGUAUGGCUGUUCGCCAUUUAAAGUGGUACGCGAGCUGGGUUUAGAACGUCGUGAGACAGUUCGGUCCCUAUCUGCCGUGGGCGCUGGAGAACUGAGGGGGGCUGCUCCUAGUACGAGAGGACCGGAGUGGACGCAUCACUGGUGUUCGGGUUGUCAUGCCAAUGGCACUGCCCGGUAGCUAAAUGCGGAAGAGAUAAGUGCUGAAAGCAUCUAAGCACGAAACUUGCCCCGAGAUGAGUUCUCCCUGACUCCUUGAGAGUCCUGAAGGAACGUUGAAGACGACGACGUUGAUAGGCCGGGUGUGUAAGCGCAGCGAUGCGUUGAGCUAACCGGUACUAAUGAACCGUGAGGCUUAACCUUACAACGCCGAAGCUGUU